GAUGAACGCUGGCGGCGUGCCUAACACAUGCAAGUCGAACGGAAGAUUAUCGCUGAUGAAGCUUCGGCAGAAUCUUGAUGAUCUUUAGUGGCGGACGGGUGAGUAACGCGUGGGCAACCUGCCUCGUACUGGGGGAUAACAGCUGGAAACGACUGUUAAUACCGCAUAAGCGCACGGUGUCGCAUGACACAGUGUGAAAAACUCCGGUGGUACGAGAUGGGCCCGCGUCAGAUUAGCCAGUUGGUGGGGUAACGGCCUACCAAAGCAACGAUCUGUAGCCGGACUGAGAGGUCGGACGGCCACAUUGGGACUGAGACACGGCCCAAACUCCUACGGGAGGCAGCAGUGGGGGAUAUUGCACAAUGGGCGAAAGCCUGAUGCAGCGACGCCGCGUGAGUGAAGAAGUAUUUCGGUAUGUAAAGCUCUAUCAGCAGGGAAGAAAGACCCAUAAGGGAGAUGACGUAC
rnacentral:rRNA from 1 species